ACCGCCCGUCACACCAUGGGAGUGGGGUUCACCAGAAGCAGGUUGCCUAACCGCAAGGAGGGCGCCUACCACGGUGAGCUUACAUGACUGGGGUG
rnacentral:rRNA from 1 species